UGGUGGUGGAGUACCUGGAGGGCGUCGACGACCUUCCGGCGAUCGUGCGGGAGUUCGCGCCCGGCCCGGACGCCCGGCUCGGCGUCCUGGUCGACCACC
rnacentral:tRNA from 1 species